GCCGGUGUAGCUCAGUUGGUAGAGCAGCUGAUUUGUAAUCAGCGGGUCGGGGGUUCAAAUCCUCUCGCCGGCUC
rnacentral:tRNA from 1 species